CUCAGCAUGGGAUGGAGCUAUAUUGUCCUCUUCCUAUUGGCAGCAGUUACAGGUGUGAACUCACAGAUCCAGCUGGUACAGUCUGGGGCUGAACUGGUGAAGCCUGGGGCUUCAGUGAAGAUGUCUUGUAAGGCUUCAGGAUACACCUUCACUAGCUACUAUAUGAACUGGGUGAAGCAGAAGCCUGGUCAGGGACUGGAGUGGAUUGGAAGGAUUGAUCCAGGAAAUGGUGAAACUAAAUAUGCUCAGAAGUUCCAGGGAAAGGCCACACUGACUGCAGACAAAUCCUCCAGCACAGCCUACAUGGAGCUCAGCAGCAUGACAUCAGAAGACUCUGCAGUCUAUUACUGUACAAGACACAGUGUUGCAAUCACAUCCUGA